AAGGGUAUAGCUCAGUGGUAAAGCACAUACUUAGCAUGAAUGAGGUCCUGGGUUCAAUCCCCAGUACCUCUG
rnacentral:tRNA from 1 species